rnacentral:misc_RNA from 1 species
GAAAUGCGAUAAGUAGUGUGAAUUGCAGAAUUCAGUGAAUCAUCGAAUCUUUGAACGCACAUUGCGCCCCUUGGUAUUCCAUGGGGCAUGCCUGUUCGAGCGUCAUUUGUACCCUCAAGCUCUGCUUGGUGUUGGGUGUUUGUCCUCUCCUUUGCGAUUGGACUCGCCUUAAAAUAAUUGGCAGCCAGUGUUUUGGUAUUGAAGCGCAGCACAAUUUGCGAUUCUAUCCGGUAAUACUGGCGUCCAUAAGCCUAUUUUACACUUUUGACCUCGGAUCAGGUAGGGAUACCCGCUGAACUUAA